rnacentral:misc_RNA from 1 species
CUGCCAAAACAUAUCAAGAAAGUAAUCCACAAGAAUGAACUAAUCCAACUUGAUUCCUUGUAGGCAACCCAAACCGAAAUACACACAACAUUGAUAUAGAAGUCAACUAAUGUUGCAUCCAUCCACGGAGUAAGGAGAUCUUUGCGAAAAGGUGAACCAUCAGUUACAAUAGUGUAGAUCAAAGUUCCCAACAUUAAACAACCCAAAAUGCUNNNNNGCAAUUCUUGCCACUACAACAGGGGAGUUCUGCCUCUUUUGUUGCAUUCCAUCCCUUUUUUCAUGUCGCAAUAGAACAUAGUAAAUAGGAUCUUGUAAUGAUUCUUGAGGUGACAAAUUGAGAAGUUGAAUGAAAAUGUAGGCACAAGUAGCAAUGCUGCCAAAGCAAACAAGGAGAAUUAUCCAAAUAAUUGCACUAAUACUGUUUGAUUCCUUGUAGGAAGUCCAAGCCGCCAAAGGUACAACGUUGAUAUAGAAAUCAACCAAAGUAGCAGCCAUCCACGGGGUGAGAAGUUCUCUGCGAAAGGGGAGGCCAUCGAUGGAGAUGGUGUAGAUGAGAGUGACCACCAUUACAGAACCCAAUACAAAGAAAAGAGUUCUUAGCACAGCUGCUAGUGGAAUUGCCAUUUUUACGUUUCGUGUCUUCUGCGAUUCUGCGAGAAGAAACAAGAAAGCGGAGAAGUGAUGGGUACAGGGACUAGUGGAGGAGGCCGAGUCCAC